ACAGAGGGUGCAAGCGUUGUUCGGAAUUAUUGGGCGUAAAGCGCGUGUAGGCUGCGACGUAUGUCGGGUGUGAAAGCCCUCGGCUCAACUGAGGAAGUGCGCCCGAAACUACGUUGCUCGAGUGCUGGAGAGGGUAGCGGAAUUCCCGGUGUGGGGUUGAAAUCGGAGAAAACGGGAGGGAAACCCAUGGGCGAGGCCGGCUACUGGACCGGACACGGAGGUUGGGCGGCGAAAGGUGGGGAGCAAACAG
rnacentral:rRNA from 1 species